GGUUUGCGUGAGCGAUGGCAGCGGCAUCCUUUUGCGCGCUUGCAAGCAAAAGAUAAAGCGUACAGCGCGACGGCGC
rnacentral:sRNA from 1 species